rnacentral:tRNA from 1 species
GCGGGAUUAGUUUAGUGGCAGGACGACUGCUUCCCAAGCAGUAAGCGCGAGUUCGAUUCUCGCAUCCCGCA